AAAACAAUGACGAACGCUGGCGGCGUGCUUAACACAUGCAAGUCGAACGGAAAGGCCCUUCGGGGUACUCGAGUGGCGAACGGGUGAGUAACACGUGGGUGAUCUGCCCUGCACUUUGGGAUAAGCCUGGGAAACUGGGUCUAAUACCGGAUAGGACCACGCGCUUCAUGGUGUGUGGUGGAAAGCUUUUGCGGUGUGGGAUGGGCCCGCGGCCUAUCAGCUUGUUGGUGGGGUAAUGGCCUACCAAGGCGACGACGGGUAGCCGGCCUGAGAGGGUGACCGGCCACACUGGGACUGAGAUACGGCCCAG
rnacentral:rRNA from 1 species